CUCCGGACUGUCCUUGAUGUUGGUUGUGGAGUUGCAAGUUUUGGGGGAUAUAUGCUUUCUUCUGAUAUGAUUGCAAUGUCAUUGGCACCAAAUGAUGUUCAUCAAAACCAGAUCCAGUUUGCCUUGGAAAGAGGAAUCCCUGCAUACCUUGGUGUUUUGGGGACAAAGAGACUUCCUUACCCAAGCAGAUCUUUUGAACUUGCACAUUGUUCUCGUUGUAGGAUUGAUUGGCUUCAAAGAAAUGGAAUCCUUCUUCUUGAGCUAGAUAGGUUGCUUAGACCUGGAGGCUACUUUGCAUACUCAUCGCCUGAGGCCUAUGCACAAGAUGAAGAGGAUCUGAGAAUCUGGAAAGAAAUGAGCGCCCUUGUCGAACGGAUGUGUUGGAAGAUAGCUGUGAAAAGGAAUCAAACAGUUAUCUGGGUCAAGCCUCUGACAAAUGACUGUUACAUGGAAAGAGAACCUGGUACUCAGCCUCCUCUCUGCAAAUCUGAUGAUGAUCCAGAUGCAGUUUUGGAUGUGCCAAUGAAAGCUUGCAUCACUCCUUACACUGAUCGUGAGUACCAUAUCAGCCCUUUAAAUUUCUUUUUGGACUUUCAAGAUUACUGUUAGUAGUCUCAUUACGAUUUUUUUUCAAGCAUGACCUUUCAAUGGAAGCAAAUUAAUUUUGGAAGGUAGAACAGGAAAUUGCAUAUUUUACUUUACAUCAAUAAAAUGCUCAUGCAGUAAACAAUGCUUUACCUACCCUUUUGAGUUUGUGAGCUUUUAGCAGCACACACAGUUAACAUGACAAUUUGUGUUUGUUUAAAUGUUUGAUCUUUUACUGUUCAUAUAUUGCUACUGAGGAAAUAAAAAAAAAAUCAUCGGUGAAGUUAGAUCCUCCUUGCCAUGCUUUUGUUUGAUUUUGCAUUGCCCUUAUUUGCAUGAAUCAUCGGUGCUUUUUUAGCUACAUAGAAUUUGUGUUGGAAGUAAGAAAUGCACUGAGUAUUUUAAUGAUCCCAUCAGAACAACAUAAAGCAAAAGGGAGUGGAUUGGCCCCUUGGCCUGCUCGGUUGACCACACCACCUCCCCGUCUAGCUGACUUUGGCUAUUCUGCUGAAAUGUUUGAAAAGGACACGGUAAUCUAUCAAAAUUUUAAUCUAUCAAAAAUUUACAAUCUGUUAAAUGUUUGGAAGAGGCUGGUUUGUAACAGGAUUGAUAUGUUGCAGGAAGUUUGGCAGCACAGGGUUGAGAAUUAUUGGAAUCUUCUGAGCCCAAAGAUUCAGCCUGAUACCCUGAGGAAUUUGAUGGACAUGAAGGCUAACCUAGGAUCAUUUGCAGCUGCCCUAAAGAGCAAAGAUGUUUGGGUUAUGAAUGUUGUGCCUGAAGAUGGACCCAACACUCUCAAAAUAAUAUAUGAUAGAGGCCUGAUAGGCUCUGCGCACAACUGGUGAGUUCCAAAAAUUUUCUAAUAUUUGACAUUUGGAAAAUAUUUAAAUGUGUUGGGGGUUAAAUUUCUGAAAAAAAUAAAUAAUCAAACCUAUCUGUCGUGUUAGUAAAAAUUCUAGAUAUUUAUUUUAUCAAUACAUUUUAUCAGAAAACAUAAGCAUCAUUAGGGCUGUGUCUACUCUAAGGUUAUUUAGGUUUCUAUGAGAAAUCCUUCCGACGUGUUUUCAUCAGAUUGUAGAAAGUUUGUAGCCAACACCAUUGUUAUAACCACAUGCCAGUUUGCUUGAUGGGUAAAUUUGAUUUAUUUUUUCAAGAAAAAAGGAAAAGAAAAGUGUAGGAAGAUAUGAUACAGCAGAAACUGUAAUGCAAACUCGUCUCUGAGAAACCAUUUCAUUGUAGAAUAUGAGGUUUUCCUUCUAGUUUGACUCCACAUAAUAUUCUUCUCUUGCAAAUGCAUGAGAAGGCUGGUUCUGCUAACUCUCUUAUCAGAAAAUUCCUGCCUUCCUAGGAGAGGGAAACAAAAACAACAUGGAACUGCCAAUUAUAUUUCUUGAUCAGACUAUCAUGUGGUCUAAAAUGAUUUUUGUUUCCUAUUGACAGGUGCGAAUCGUUUUCAACCUAUCCACGGACUUAUGAUCUACUUCAUGCUUGGACUGUCUUCUCAGACAUCGAAAAGAAAGAUUGUGGUGCCGAGGAUCUGCUAAUCGAGAUGGACCGCAUUUUGAGACCCACAGGCUUCAUUAUUAUCCGCGAUAAGCCAUCAGUGGUGGAAUUCGUAAAGAAACAUUUGUCAGCACUGCAUUGGGAAGCAGUGGCUACAGGUGAUGUUGAGCAGGACACCGAGCAAGGUGAGGAUGAGGUGGUGUUCAUCAUCCAAAAGAAGAUGUGGCUAACAAGCACAAGCUUCAGUGUCACUGAAUAAAACAGCCAACCAUGAUUUCCAGACUCUUGCCCUUUUAGCUGAACAUUGCAGGGGCUGAAGGUAGCCCAUGUCGUGCCCGGUGGUUUAUAUGAUUUUGUAGCAUUUGAUGUUUUAGUUUAUUUCUUCUCCUUAAUCUUAUAUGAAAGCAGAAUUUUUUAUCCAGGUUAUUUAUGCUCUAUUAUUCAUUAUAAAUUCAAAUUGUUAAUUUAAUCGCUGACUAUUGAUUAAAUUAAAUCAAGGCUGUUAUAGGAAGUAUGGAAAUUGAAGCAUUCAUUUUACAGGAGUCUUCUUGUUUGUCAUGCACUUUUAAUUUUUUGACCGAGCUUUUAUUAACUCCACAAUUUUUUUCACCGACUCUGGAGCGAAGGAGUCAGAACCUUCAAAUAUCAGGAGAAUAUUAUAACUAUAGCGAGAUUUUUAAAAUAUUUUAUUUUAUUAAUCUUUUUUUUUACUUUGUUAAAAGAUUAUUAUAAUUUUUUAUAUAAAAAGAAAAAGAAAAACUCAAAUAAUAUUAAAUAAAAAAAUAUUAUUUCAAGUAAAAAAAAAAACUAGAAGAGCAUAAUAAUACAUGAUUGGAAAAAAAAUUAAAAAAAAUUAACCAAUAAAAAAAUUUGAUGCAUUAGACUCUCCUGUUAGAAAUUAUCAUCCAACAUGAAUAUUUUUUGUGUAGACUUUUUUAUUGUGAGUCCUAGUAUCUUUAUGUAGAUGACCAUGUUAUAGAGUCCUAACAAAAUAUCUUAAUGUAGAUUAUACCAUUGUAAAUUCCUAACACUACAUCUUAUUCAGGCUAUUUUAUCAAAGAUUUCACCACUAAGAUUUUCAAUAAUAAUAGCGAAUACAAACAAAAACAACAAUUUGUUUCCGGAACAUCUCUUUUAUGAGGGGGAACUUUCUCAUUCCCUUUCCUAGACAACUACCUCUUGUUCUGCAAUCUUUUAUAACAAUGAUUAUUCAACAAUAUACAAUAACUAAUCACUUGAAAUUGUUGAGUCUAGUAUAUGUCUUUUGCAAUCUCCAAUCAUUGUGAUUUGACAAAAUGAUGAAAUUUUUUAGAAAUUAUUAGGCUCUAACAUCUACUGACGCAGCUAAAAAUAAAGGAUAAUAUGGUUUGUUAUAAGUUUAGACUUCAAAGACUAGGAAUACCAUAAUUACAGGUAGAGUUCUAAAUUACUCAAUUUUAUUCAUUAAUGUCUCUAUUUGCCAAAAUGUUAUUAUAAUUUUUUAUAAAAAAAAAACUACAAAACCCUAAUAAUACUAGAUAAAAAAAAAUAGAAAAACUAUCAUCUUUAAAUAACAAAAAAAAAAACUAGAAAAGCAUAGUAAUACAUAAUAGAAAAAAAAAAUAGCUAAGAAAAUAUUUAUUUUCUCAUCAAACUUUAGCAUCACUCGUUCUUUUUUUAUGAGAUAUAAAAGAUUGAGAUAUUGUGGGCAUAUUUUUUAUAUCUUUUAUUUUAAAAUGUUAAGAAUUCACUUUAAAAUUGUUUUAAAGAUAAAUUUAUUUAAUGUGUCUAAUUUUUUUUAUCAAUUAUAUUUUUAUGAUCUCUACUUUUUUUUUUUGUUCAAAAUAUUAACCAAACACAAUCCAGAUACACUAUAGUCCCUUUCUUUUUAGAGUACGAAUCAUGAACUUGAUCCUUGAAGCACAAUAAUGUUCAUUAUCCUGAGCUAGGAGUUAGGACAAAAUAACUCCUCAGUUAUGAUGAAAUUUAUUGAAAAAAAUAUUUUAAUUUAAAAUCUUAAAUUGUUGAGUGAUGAAUUUAAUUUAAAUUAUUUAUACAUAACCUGUCAAGGGAAUAUAUCCAUCCAAAAUCUUAAAUGACCAAGUAAUUAUCAGAUAAAUUGUUUUAAAUUAAUCAAAAAAGAAGAAAAUUAUUUGGUUUUAACUCCUCACCAUUUGGUGAUCAUUAAUUAGGGUUUUGAACUCAAUUUGACCGAAUCUAUAAGCUUAAGGAAUAUUCUAAAAAUUAUUUUAUAUUAAUUAUUCAAAUCAAUUCACAAUCUUCUUUUGAAGAAAUAAAACAAAAUAAUUUAGCUAGCAAGAAAAUAGAGAGUUGACCAUACGAUAGAUAGGAGUAGACAACUAGAUUCCUCUUGGUUUGACUCUUGACCAAACCUAACCCCCAUCCCUUGUAAAUUCUAAACUAACAACUUUAAAACACAACAAGAAAUCUUCAGACCUGAUUACAUCCCAGGAAUGUUUUUAUAGUUAUAAAAUUCGGAUCCUUCAGCGAGUUGAUUUGAGAUUUUAUCGAUUUAUUAAUUUAAAUAAAAAAAAAUAAACCAGGGUUGAUCUGUGACGCUUGUAAAAUACGAUAAAAAAUCAAUGAAUUAUUUAAAAAAAUAUUAAUUUGAUUUUUAAUUUUUUAAUUAACCUGAAUUAAAUUAGCCAUGUUAUUUAUGUUAGGGGUCAAGAAGAUGUUUUUUCUCAAUAAAAAAUGCCAUUGUUUAAUUUAUGUAGUGGCUCAGCAUCUCCCUUUCUCUACUCCACAUUUAGCCCAUCCAGGUACCUGACAUCAUCCAUCAAUUUCUUUUCUUGCAGUUCAAGAUCCAAGCCUGUCAAUUUUCUCCUUACAAAUAGAGAGAAAGAGAGGGAGGAAGAGAGCAACAUUGUCAUUUUCAUGCUUCUACGUGUGAGUUUAUACUGUAUUAAUACAAUAAUGCAACAGUCUUAAAGUUUGUAACUCUGUAUGGUUUGAAACAUUGCCGACAUUUGUUUUUGACAUGGGUUCGAUGAUGUCGUUACAGUAAUUAAACACACAAAGUAUUCAAAGUGUUGAAAUUUUUGUGAUCUGGGUCUUCUUAAUCAAUCUCUUCCAAUGCUUAACUGUAUCACAUUAUAACUGGCAACCAGCAACUUGUCGGUGCUUUUCGUGUGAUAUACUGUACAGUUCUUUUUUUCCCUUUUUUCAUUAUUGCCCUUUUGUUUAUCUGACAAGAUCAUGCUGCUGCUUCAUUCAGCUGGGUAGAUUUGAUUUGGUUAUUUCAUUUCAAAGUUUUCUUAGAUCUACUGUUCUUGCUAAUCUCAUGUAAGUGCAAUAGCAUGCCACAUUCUCGUAGAUGGAAUGUAGUUCUUUUGUUUGUUUUGUUACUCUAUCUUCUUUUUAAUCUCUGAGUAGUUAUCUUCUUCUGUGUGAAUGAUUGGCCUGAUAAAGGUGUGAUUUCAGUUUUUGUUAAUGUUUUGACAUUGGAUUGUAUGAGUUGGAUGUUUGCAGUUUAGGGUUUGUUCUGUGAUUUGCUAGACUAUUGUGCCUUGUGUUAUGGAUGCUUUAGUCCUAACUUGAUUUAUUUUUGGAAUCAAGGCUAGUGGUGACAAGAAAUUUGAGGCCAUGAUGAAGGGAAUUCAAUAGCGGAUUUGCAUUGGGUGGUCAUUCAUCACUAAUCACUAAUCACUUGGAGAGAGAAAUGAACUUCUGAUUUGUCUUCUGUAUAUUGAAGUAACAGUGGAAGAGGGAGAUUUUGUAUUUUUAUUACGUGUUGCAAAAGAUGGCAAGGGGAAGAGGUGAUGGGGAACAGAAGAAGCGGCUGGUAACUUGGAUAGUGGUAUUGGCUAUUGUUUGCGGUUGUCUUUACAUAUAUUCUCGAAAAGGUGGAACAUCUGCUCUGGAAUAUGGCAGUAAAUCUCUAAGGAAGUUAGGUUCUUCUUAUUUGGGUGGGGAGGACGACGGUGAUGAAGCUUCAAACAAAUUCGGCGAAGAUCUACAGGAUGGUGUUAUGCUUAAAAGCAUUCCUGUAAGCAAUUUCAAGAUGAGCAAAUUUUAUGUUCAGUUGCACUUGGGUUCACGUUUCUCUAUUUUGGAAUCAGUUGCACUGAUAUAAGCUAUACUUCUCUUGUAAUUAUUUUCAAUGUUGUAGGUUUGUGAUGAUGGGCAAUCAGAGCUGAUUCCUUGUCUAGAUAGAAACCUUAUAUACCAGACAAGAUUGAAGCUGGAUUUGUCUUUGAUGGAGCACUAUGAAAGACAUUGCCCAGCUCCAGAAAGGCACUUCAAUUGCUUGAUUCCUCCUCCACCAGGUUACAAGGUAAAGUUUUUCAGAAGUAUUUUGCAGUAGCUAGUUUGUAGGGAAGUAUCGUUUUGGCCAUGUGAAUUGAAUGAACCAGCUUAAAGUUUUAUGUGUUUCCUAUCCUUGAUGGUUGCAGGUCCCGAUCAAGUGGCCCAAAAGCAGAGAUGUGGUGUGGAAAGAAAAUAUACCUCACACCCACCUCGCAAGUGAAAAGUCUGAUCAGAACUGGAUGGUUGUCAAAGGUGACAAGAUUGAAUUUCCUGGAGGUGGCACACACUUCCAUUACGGGGCUGAUAAGUAUAUAGCUGCAAUUGCAAAUGUAGGUUAAUAGUUUUUCUCAUGUAAAUGUGUGAUUCUCAAGCUUCAAGCAAUUGCGUUUCAUUGAAAUCCUGGUGAUGCAAUAUUAUGUUUGACUGCACAUGCUAUCUCCAAACAGUCCCAGUUUUUUUAUUUUGUUUAUAUUUCUGGUCGGCAGAUGCUGAACUUUCCAAAAAACAUUUUAAACAAUGGAGGAAGGCUCCGGACAGUCCUUGAUGUUGGUUGUGGAGUUGCGAGUUUUGGUGGAUAUCUUCUUUCUUCUAAUAUCAUUGCAAUGUCAUUGGCACCAAAUGAUGUUCAUCAAAACCAGAUCCAGUUUGCCCUGGAAAGAGGAAUCCCUGCACACCUUGGUGUUUUAGGGACAAAGAGACUUCCCUACCCAAGCAGAUCUUUUGAACUUGCACAUUGUUCUCGUUGUAGGAUUGAUUGGCUUCAAAGAAAUGGAAUCCUUCUUCUUGAGCUAGAUAGGUUGCUUAGACCUGGAGGCUACUUUGCAUACUCAUCCCCUGAAGCCUAUGCACAAGAUGAAGAGGAUCUGAGAAUCUGGAAAGAAAUGAGCGCCCUUGUUGAACGAAUGUGUUGGAAGAUAGCUGUGAAAAGGAAUCAAACAGUUAUCUGGGUCAAGC
rnacentral:lncRNA from 1 species